UGAGGUAUAGCAUAAUUAUAAAUGCAUUUCAUUUACAUUGAAAAUAUAUUUAUUUAAAAAUUACCUCAA
rnacentral:tRNA from 1 species